rnacentral:rRNA from 1 species
AACGAACGCUGGCGGCAUGCCUAACACAUGCAAGUCGAACGCCCCGCAAGGGGAGUGGCGAACGGGCGAGUAACGCGUGGGAACCUACCCAGCAGUUGGGGAUAACCGCGGGAAGCUGCGGCUAAUACCGAAUACGUCCUAAGGGAGAAAGAUUUAUCGCUGUUGGAGGGGCCCGCGCCGGAUUAGCUAGUUGGUGAGGUAACGGCUCACCAAGGCGACGAUCCGUAGCUGGUCUGAGAGGAUGAUCAGCCACACUGGGACUUAGACACGGCCCAGACUCCUAAGGGAGGCAGCAGUGCGGAAUAUUGGACGCUGGGUGCAACCCUGAUCCAGCAAUGCCGCGUGAGUGAUGAAGGCCUUAGGGUUGUAAAGCUCUUUUACCGGGGACGAUGAUGACGGUACCCGGAGAAUAAGCCCCGGCUAACUUCGUGCCAGCCGCCGCAGUAA